rnacentral:rRNA from 1 species
CGCCUUGCCAGCCCGCUCAGAAACUCAAAGGAAUUGACGGGGGCCCGCACAAGCGGAGGAGCAUGUGGUUUAAUUCGAUGAUACGCGAGGAACCUUACCUGGGCUCGAACGUAAGAUGACUGUAGGUGAAAGCUUACAUCUCUUCGGAGCAUUUUACGAGGUGCUGCAUGGUUGUCGUCAGCUCGUGCCGUGAGGUGUCGGGUUAAGUCCCAUAACGAGCGCAACCCCUACCUUUAGUUGCCAUCAGGUAAUGCUGGGGACUCUAAAGGAACUGCCUACGCAAGUAGUGAGGAAGGCGGGGAUGACGUCAAAUCAGCACGGCCCUUACGUCCAGGGCUACACACGUGCUACAAUGGCCGGUACAAAGGGCAGCUACCUGGUGACAGGAUGCUAAUCUCAAAAGCCGGUCUCAGUUCGGAUCGGAGUCUGCAACUCGACUGCGUGAAGUCGGAAUCGCUAGUAAUCGCGGAUCAGAACGCCGCGGUGAAUACGUUCUCGGGGUUU